UUCAAGGAGGAGGCGGCUCAUCGGAGCCAGAGAACAGCUGGCGGUUGGACCAUCAGAGGUGACACUCAGGGAGUCCAGUGGCAGAGGCUGACCAGGUCUGCGUGGCCCACACCGUGACGGUCUACUGCAGUGAGUCCCCGUUUUACAGCUUUUCUGUGAAUCGGGGCAGAUUUGAUGAGCAAAAAUAUACGUUGUCGCCCUGGCGGGUGGAUCAGUUGAUUGAGUGUCGUACUGUCCACCAAAACGGUCCUGGGUGCGAUCUCCAGUCAGGGAAACGCCGGCCCUCUUCAGCAGGAAGCAGCUACCGGAGAGACCCUGCGCCCCUUUCCCCGAGGAAUGCAGAGCCAGGAGUUCAGGGCGGGAUGCGGCAGGCAGUGGAGAGGCCUGGGCAGGUGUGGAAGUUGCUGGGAAGCAGAGUCUCAACAGGUCGGAGUAAUGCUCGGAGAAUGGCGGCUUUUCACCUUGCUUUAUACGUGACCGUCGAAGGAAAAGA